rnacentral:misc_RNA from 1 species
GAAAAAAGAAAAGAAAGAAUAGUACCUAUAAUUAUAUAUCACAUUAAGUCAAGCAAAUAGUUUGGCAUUAAAAUCUUUAUGAACUAUUAAAAUUUAACAAUAAAUGAUAGAACCUAUAUAUCUCCCACAUUCAAUAAACAAUACAUAUAAAAGGAUGGAUCCAUUUGUUUUGGGAAGAAAAAUUAUUUGUAGAAAUUUUAUUUGUGGAAAAUGGUUAUCCAUAAGAUGACUUAUUUUCCAUUGUCUUAUUGUAACAUUAAAAAAUUAUUAAGAAAACUAAUGAGUUUUAAUUUAAUAUUGAAGUCGUC